GUAAGCAGAAGGUCCAAAAUAGGACGAAACAGCUGUCCAGUAC
rnacentral:hammerhead_ribozyme from 1 species